rnacentral:rRNA from 1 species
AUUGAACGCUGGCGGCAGGCUUUACACAUGCAAGUCGAACGGUAACAGGGAGCUUGCUCCGCUGACGAGUGGCGAACGGGUGAGUAAUGCGUCGGAACGUGCCGAGUAGUGGGGGAUAACGCAGCGAAAGUUGUGCUAAUACCGCAUACGUACUGAGGUAGAAAGGGGGGGACCUUCGGGCCUCACGCUAUUCGAGCGGCCGACGUCUGAUUAGCGAGUAGGUGAGGUAAAGGCUCACCUAGGCGACGAUCAGUAGCGGGUCUGAGAGGAUGGACCGCCACACAUGGACUGAGACACGGCCCAGACUCCUACGGAAGGCAGCAGUGGGGAAGUUUGGACAAUGGGCGAAAGCCUGAUCCAGCCAUGCCGCGUGUCUGAAGAAGGCCUUCGGGUUGUAAGGGACUUUUGUCGGGGAGGAAAUCCCCAGCGCUAAUACCGCUGGGGGAUGACAGUACCUGAAGAAUAAGCACCGGCUAACUACGUGCCAGCCGCCGCCGUAA